rnacentral:rRNA from 2 species
ACCUGAUUGAUUUUGGUCGCCAACGAGUGGCGGACGGGUGAGUAACACGUAGGUAACCUGCCCAGAAGCGGGGGACAACAUUUGGAAACAGAUGCUAAUACCGCAUAACAGCGUUGUUCGCAUGAACAACGCUUAAAAGAUGGCUUCUCGCUAUCACUUCUGGAUGGACCUGCGGUGCAUUAGCUUGUUGGUGGGGUAACGGCCUACCAAGGCGAUGAUGCAUAGCCGAGUUGAGAGACUGAUCGGCCACAAUGGGACUGAGACACGGCCCAUACUCCUACGGGAGGCAGCAGUAGGGAAUCUUCCACAAUGGGCGCAAGCCUGAUGGAGCAACACCGCGUGAGUGAAGAAGGGUUUCGGCUCGUAAAGCUCUGUUGUUAAAGAAGAACACGUAUGAGAGUAACUGUUCAUACGUUGACGGUAUUUAACCAGAAAGUCACGGCUAACUACGUGCCAGCAGCCGCGGUAAUACGUAGGUGGCAAGCGUUAUCCGGAUUUAUUGGGCGUAAAGAGAGUGCAGGCGGUUUUCUAAGUCUGAUGUGAAAGCCUUCGGCUUAACCGGAGAAGUGCAUCGGAAACUGGAUAACUUGAGUGCAGAAGAGGGUAGUGGAACUCCAUGUGUAGCGGUGGAAUGCGUAGAUAUAUGGAAGAACACCAGUGGCGAAGGCGGCUACCUGGUCUGCAACUGACGCUGAGACUCGAAAGCAUGGGUAGCGAACAGGAUUAGAUACCCUGGUAGUCCAUGCCGUAAACGAUGAGUGCUAGGUGUUGGAGGGUUUCCGCCCUUCAGUGCCGGAGCUAACGCAUUAAGCACUCCGCCUGGGGAGUACGACCGCAAGGUUGAAACUCAAAGGAAUUGACGGGGGCCCGCACAAGCGGUGGAGCAUGUGGUUUAAUUCGAAGCUACGCGAAGAACCUUACCAGGUCUUGACAUCUUGCGCCAACCCUAGAGAUAGGGCGUUUCCUUCGGGAACGCAAUGACAGGUGGUGCAUGGUCGUCGUCAGCUCGUGUCGUGAGAUGUUGGGUUAAGUCCCGCAACGAGCGCAACCCUUGUUACUAGUUGCCAGCAUUAAGUUGGGCACUCUAGUGAGACUGCCGGUGACAAACCGGAGGAAGGUGGGGACGACGUCAGAUCAUCAUGCCCCUUAUGACCUGGGCUACACACGUGCUACAAUGGACGGUACAACGAGUCGCGAACUCGCGAGGGCAAGCAAAUCUCUUAAAACCGUUCUCAGUUCGGACUGCAGGCUGCAACUCGCCUGCACGAAGUCGGAAUCGCUAGUAAUCGCGGAUCAGCAUGCCGCGGUGAAUACGUUCCCGGGCCUUGUACACACCGCCCGUCACACCAUGAG